rnacentral:lncRNA from 1 species
AUCAGACAAAUAAAACUUGGCCGAAAAAUGUACUAAACCAGAAUAUGUGGCAUAAACAGUUUGACCAUUUGGGAGACUAAUUAAGACAGGUUUGAUUUUAGUCCAAGUAGUAAAAGCGCUCAGAUUGUGGCAAACAUGAUCAGUGGCACCAGAAUCAACAAGCCAAGAUUCUUUUAUAGCAGAUAAUGAAGAGAAAAACUUACCCGUUGAAGAUUGCUCGGUAUUGGUGAUUUUAUC